AGAGGACUUGUCUGUUCUACUGAUUUGAAUGGAAUUGAACUUUAAAAGAACAGGUCCGUGCAUAACCUAGAAAUCCCAAAAUGCUGAAUGAAAUGAAAGUCCUGCUUAUCCCACUUAAUGUUUGCUGGAGAGGUUCAACUUGGAAAUGAAAGAUAACAACAAAGAACAUUUGAACUUGGCUAAGUACUUACUGAGCUGUCGUGCAUUUACUGAAGGAAUACCUGUGGAACUUCAAAAAAUACAGCUGCCUGAGCCAUACUACAAACCUAUUCAAUCUCAUUUGGACCCAAGCAGUGGUGAAAUUGCUGACUGGCGAGUGUGUCCUGCCACAAAAACCAUAGGCAAGAUGUGGCCACGACCAAAAGAGCAUGAAAGAUGGAAAACACCAUCUGGAUCAUGCAAUUCAAAUCACAUCAACUUCUCUUUUUCCAUUUAAGAAAAAUCAUCCAUGCAGCCUUUUGUUGCUUUCUGCUGUGGCCAGAAACCACUUAGGAUGCAAUCCUCUGUUAGUGAAAGAGAAAGUCCAAAGGGACUCCAGAACAUACAUUGCUCCCCUUUCAAGUUUUACGCACAUUUUUUUUUUAGGGGGAGUUGGGGAAAGUCCACAUCUCUAUGGACUUUUAUUCAGCUUGGAACCAUAGAUAGUAGCUUCUGACUAUACAUCUGUCAUUGAUCACCCUGAAAGAGCUCACUGCACUCCAUGGGGAUUUGUCUUCCAGUUGUUAGAUAAGGAGAGUUUGUUUUCUGUUUCAAUAGAGCUAAUAACCCAAAAAUGAGCAGGGAGUUCUAGAGAGUCCUUGUUCAUAUCCAUUUGGGAAAAAAAUAUCACAAUACCCUUCCCAGUUUUUAACCAGAUUUAGUCAUUCUUUGGCUUUGCUGUGUGAUGAAGAUCUAUAGUGUUAUGUUGGUGUAUUUUGACAGUAGUAUUUUAUAACAAAUAAAUGAUCUGGUUGCUUUUAUUUUAAUCAAGCAUCAAGGCCCAUUUUCUAGCCAUGAGAAUAAUUAAAUAAUAAUUUUAUCAGUGAUUUGGGUUAAUCACAGGUAGCAUUCAUUUCUGUUGAGGGAUGUUAGAGAAGUAUUGUCAUAUAGUAAGAAUGAUACUGGAGUAAGGGUCAGCAACUGAGCUCUGUCGCUAAAUAGCUCAGUGACUUUAAGCAAGUCAUCUAACCUCUUCUGUUUGUAUCUUCAUCUGUGAUAGGAGGAUUGAGAUCUUCUCCUUCUCUGCAAAGUCACUUCUGAAUCUUUAGAAUGAAAACUGGGGAGUAAAACAUAGAUGGCAUUGAAUGAUGUCUACUAAGUGCCAGCACAUGGAAGACUACUUAAAAUGCUCUACGUGUAUUACCCAUUGCAAUUGUUAAAGGCAGUAGGUACAAUAUUAUUAUGUACAUUUUGUAGGUGAUGAGAUUGAAACUUAGAACAUUUAAGGAAUUUCCCAAAGCCUCAAGUUACUUAAAGGCAGAACUGGAAAAAAAUCCCAAGUCUCCCUGGUACCAAAGCCCGUCUGCUUCAUAAUUAUUGAGCAUUUAUUAUGACCACAGAAGUUUUCUUACACUGGCCCACUUAAUCUUAAAAAAAAAGAAACCAAAAAACACUGUCAGGUUAAUAUCAUAGUUUCCAUGAUGGAGAUAAGGAAAUUUCAGGGUAGAAAAUUAAGAAACAUACCAAGAGUGGCAUGAGUUAUGUAGAACACGGGAGCUAAGAUUUAUUCUUAUGUUAGCCUCAUUUCCACAACCAAGCCCUUUCUACUACACCAGUUGGAUGCCUGGUAAACCCAAGUUUCUUGGAGAAUUAAGUAGCUUUUUUUUUUUUUUUUUUACUUUGGUUUUGACUUUAGGUAAGUAGGGUCAAAUUCAUUAGGCUAAACAUUAGGUAGUAUCAUGCAAAAUGUUAUUUGUUUUUCUAAUCUCUGGACAUAGCUCAUUCAAGCUGGACAAGCCAAUAAGACAAGUUUGGGUUAAUUUUCAGAGCCCCUCCCAGAAAACCUUGGAUAACCCGAGAGAGCAAUGCAUGAUUGGUUGGGUAGGGUGAAGUCACCAAGAUCAGAUCCAUGCAUUCAUUUUUAUAAAAUGGUCUUUUAAAAGUGAGAUAAUUUAAGAGUUCAAAAGAUCUCUUCAGGAAAGAUGAAUAGAUACCAUCUUGAAAUUUGGAGAAUAUCAUGGAACAUCUUUUAUAAUGAAGGCAUGACAAUAAGUAGGUGGGGCAUAUUGGAAUCUUCUCAACUAAAAGCUACUAAAGAGAGUUUCACUUCAGGGUGACUGCAUCCCACAGAAGGAGUGCCCUCCAGGUUCAGACUUGCACAGGGGUAGAGUCAUGAUCCUCUCUAUAUGAAACAUUGACAUUCCUGCAAAUGAAAAGAAGUUCCUGUUCCAUCUGCAUAGCUAGACCACUGGGUCAGGAGUGUGACUAAGAGGUGGAUCACUUUUCUACUGGCCUGGAAGGGCAGCUGAGGUGGUUCCCAUCCUUCCCCCUGGUAAGACUUCAGUGCAUUUCACUGAGAGCUCCCCCAGCUGCCUCUGUCAAGGCUGGGACCUCGGCCUACCAUCAGUAUUGCAUUUAGCCACCUGCUUUAGUCACAACCAAUUUUUACCCAUGGACACCUCCCCUACUGGCAUGAAGGCUGAACUAUUCAUACUAGUAAAUAAAAUGCUGGGGAAAAAUAAACAAAUAAAUAAAUGCAAACCCCAAAUGAGACAGUGAACCUGCUCACACACUGAGCACAUUGCUACAACAACAAGCAUUUGAGAAAGCCAUCAUACAAAGACUGCCUGUAAAUAAGGAACUCAUAUAAAGUCUUCAUCCCUGAAUGCAACAAGAGAAAAAUUAGGCUACAAUAAACUACAAACAUGAAUGCUGCAUUCUUAAAGGGGAAGAAAUUUAAAAAACACAGUAGAGUAAAAAGGAAAUUCCAGAAUAAUUAAAAGAAACAGUAUACCCAAAUGAGAAGGAACUAGAAAUAUUAUUCUGGCAAUAUGACAAAACAGGAUUCUAUAAAAUCCCCCAAAAAUCACGUUAGCUCUCCAACAAUGGCUACAAAACAAGAUAAAAUCUUUGAAAUACCAGGAAAAGAAUUCAAGAGGUUGAUUAUUAAGCUAUUCAAGGAGAUACAACAGAAAGCUGAAAACCAACAUAAAGAAAUUAAAAAGAACAAUUCAGGAUAUGAAUUAACAUUUUUCUGAAGAGAUAGAUGUUUUAAAGACAAACCAAUCAGAACUUCUGAUAAAUAUCCAGAAUUUACAAGGAACUCAAAUGAAUCAGCAGGAAAUAAAUCCUAAAUAAUUCCAUCAAAAAGUGGGCAAAUGACAUGAAUAGAUAUUUCUCAAAAGAAGAUACAAAAAUAGCCGAGAAACAUAUAAAAAAUGCUCAACAUCACUAAUGAUCAGGGAAAUGCAAAUUAAAACCACAAUAAGAUAACAGCUUCCCCCCGCCAGAAUGGCCAUUAUUAAAAACUCAAAAAACAAUAGAUGUUGAUAUGGAUAUGGUAAAAAGAGAAUGCUUAUACACUGCUGCUGGGAAUGUAAAUUAGUACAACCUCUAUGGAAACAGUGUGGGGAUUUCUCAAAGAACUAAAAGUAGAUCUACCAUUUGAUCCAGCAAUCCCACUACUGCAUAUCUGCCUAAAGGAAAAUAAGCCAUUAUACCAAAAUGACACCUUUACACAUGUGUUUAUUGCAGCACAAUUCACAAUUGCAAAGAUAGGGAAUCAUUGACCAAUGAGCGGAUAAAGACAAUUGACCAAUUUGGCAUUUACACACCAUGGAAUACUACUCAGCCAUAAAAAAGAAUGAAAUGAUGUCGUUUGCAGCAACUUGGGUUGAGCUGUAGGCCAUUAUUCUAAGUGAAGUACCUCAGGAAUGGAAAACCAAAUACCAUACGUUCUCACUUAUAAGUGAGAGCUAAGCUAUGGGUAUACAAAGUCAUACAGUGAUGUAUUGGACUUUGGUGACCUAGAAGUGGGGAGAGUGAGAGGGAAAUGAGGGAUUAUAAAAUGCAUAUUAGGUACAACAUAUACUACUUAGGUGACAGGUGCACUAAAGUCUUAGACUUCACCACUACAAAAGUCAUCCAUGUAACCAAAAACCACUUGUACUCCAAAAGCUAUUGAAAUAAAAAUACACUAAAAAAAUCAUAAAAAUGUAUAAAAAUUUAAGUGCCAAUAAAAGAGAGCUUGCAGGAGUAGACAUAAUCAAUUAGUGUCAAUUAUGGCUGCUUUGUCGAUAAGUGGAAUAGUAUGCUCAUCUAGUACUAUUGAUGAUUUCAAGCCUGGUUGAUCAAAUUCUCUUGCGUUCUUAAACAAUUCAACUUCCU
ensembl:lncRNA